AUAUUUAAGUUCUUUGCUCAUACCACAGCAAACGUAUUCACAAAUGUUUUGAAUGAGCUUUUCUGCAAACAGAACAUUUUUUUAAAAGAUCCUGCUUCUCUAAGUCUUGAUUUUCUAGGUAACAAACUUUUAUGUUAUGCAAUGGCUUCAGUAACAUUGGACUGAUUUUGUUCUAAUUAGCAGUGUUGUAGAACAACGCUGAAGAGCCAGCCAGCACCCCACCUCUAAAACAUCCAGAUCCCAAUAUCAGACCCAUGGAGCACCAGUGACAGAAGGGAAAUGCAAAAACAAACAGUUAUUAAAUCAGAAGUAAAGAGGCUGUUUGGAAGACGCAGAUAGAUGAAACUGGAGACAAGGAUGUGGACUGGAUUCAUCUGGCUCAGGACAGAUUCUUGCAAACAAGAAUCACCUACAAGACUACAAUCUGCAACUCUGCAAUACAGACUGAUGGUGAUAGGGCUUCAUAUUUCAAGAUAUAAAACAUUUUAUUCAUGUAAUAUGGAUAAGAUAAAAAAUGACAAUGACUCUCAUAUGA